rnacentral:rRNA from 1 species
GAUGAACGCUGGCGGCGUGCCUAAUACAUGCAAGUCGAGCGAACAGACGAGGAGCUUGCUCCUCUGACGUUAGCGGCGGACGGGUGAGUAACACGUGGAUAACCUACCUAUAAGACUGGGAUAACUUCGGGAAACCGGAGCUAAUACCGGAUAAUAUAUUGAACCGCAUGGUUCAAUAGUGAAAGACGGUUUUGCUGUCACUUAUAGAUGGAUCCGCGCCGCAUUAGCUAGUUGGUAAGGUAACGGCUUACCAAGGCAACGAUGCGUAGCCGACCUGAGAGGGGGAUCGGCCACACUGGAACUGAGACACGGUCCAGACUCCUACGGGAGGCAGCAGUAGGGAAUCUUCCGCAAUGGGCGGAAGCUUGACGGAGCAACGGCGCGUGAGUGAUGAAGGUCUUCGGAUCGUAAAACGCUGUUAUUAGGGAAGAACAAAUGUGUAAGUAACUAUGCACGUCUUGACGGUACCUAAUCAGAAAGCCACGGCUAACUACGUG